rnacentral:rRNA from 1 species
GACGAACGCUGGCGGCGUGCUUAACACAUGCAAGUCGAACGGGCUUUUUCGGAAGCUAGUGGCGAACGGGUGAGUAACACGUGGGUGAUCUGCCCUGCACUUUGGGAUAAGCCUGGGAAACUGGGUCUAAUACCGGAUAGGACUACGGCCUGCAUGGGUUGUGGUGGAAAGCUUUUGCGGUGUGGGAUGGGCCCGCGGCCUAUCAGCUUGUUGGUGGGGUGAUGGCCUACCAAGGCGACGACGGGUAGCCGGCCUGAGAGGGUGUCCGGCCACACUGGGACUGAGAUACGGCCCAGACUCCUACGGGAGGCAGCAGUGGGGAAUAUUGCACAAUGGGCGCAAGCCUGAUGCAGCGACGCCGCGUGGGGGAUGACGGCCUUCGGGUUGUAAACCCCUUUCAGCACAGACGAAGCGUAAGUGACGGUAUGUGCAGAAGAAGCACCGGCCAACUACGUGCCAGCCGCCGCCGUAACAC